AGAGCUGGAAAGGGCUCGCAGAGAUGAUAUAAUGUCGUGGAUUUCAACUUUUCAGGGCCAUAGACACUUUUCAGAAAUUGAUAAAACGUUGACACACCUCGAAAAAAAUGAACACAUUAAAAUUAUGCCUGCAGUUUGAGGUAAUGGAGAAGCACUGGAGAUUUGUAAGCGACGGAGUCAAAUGGUGGACUGGGAUUUUCAGAUCAUUUAGAGAGUAAGAUCUUACCAAAUCCUUUAGUCAUGGUCUAUUUCGUUGCACUCAUAUGGGUGUUACUGCAAAGGUGAACAACUAAUGACUGCAGCAGGAAAAAGAAUUGGAUGUGUCAUGAAUUAUGGCCCUGCUUAUACUUCUACUUCAACCAUAAUCAUUUGUUUAAACAAAAAGUUCUGCAUUUGAAUUGUCACAAUUGUGUGUGUGUUAUAAACAUCUCGUAUUUCAUCCAGGCUCAGCCAACACUUGCCUUUGUUAACACUCAUAAUCAAGAAAUAAAAUCUCAUACUAAUCAAA
rnacentral:lncRNA from 1 species